rnacentral:tRNA from 1 species
GCGAAAGUGGCGAAACUUGGUAGACGCCCUGGAUUUAGGUUCCAGUGCCGCAAGGCGUGCGGGUUCGACUCCCGCCUUUCGCACCA